UCUNGGUCANUUAGAGGAAGUAAAAGUNGUAACAAGGUUUCCGUAGGUGAACCUGCGGAAGGAUCAUUACCGAGAGACGGGGUCUAAACGGCCCCACUCUUCACCCGUGUCUACUUAUCUUUCGUUGCUUUGGCGGGCCGUCGAGCUUUAUCGCUCGGCGCCAGUGGGAAGGCGAGCGUCCUCCGCUCGGCGAGUGUCCGCCACAGGCCGUCAAUACCCUAUCUCAGUGAUGUCCGAGCCAACUAAGCAAUAGUCAAAACUUUCAACAACGGAUCUCUUGGUUCUGGCAUCGAUGAAGAACGCAGCGAAAUGCGAUAAGUAAUGUGAAUUGCAGAAUUCAGUGAAUCAUCGAAUCUUUGAACGCACAUUGCGCCCUCUGGUAUUCCGGGGGGCAUGCCUGUUCGAGCGUCAUUACAACCCUCAAGCAAUGCUUGGUACUGGGCGCAGCCCCCGCGGCUCGCCCGAAAGGCAGUGGUGGCUCAACGAGACUCCGAGCGUAGCAAGAUUUUUACCGAUCCCGCCACGGAAGACUCGAUGAAUCCGACCAACCAAAACACAAGUUCUUACUUGGACGAUUGACCUCGGAUCAGGUAGGGAUACCCGCUGAACUUAAGCAUAUCAAUAAGCGGAGGAAAAGAAACCAACCGGGAUUGCCUCAGUAACGGCGAGUGAAGCGGCAACAGCUCAAAUUUGAAAUCUGGCCUCUUCGGGGUCCGAGUUGUAAUUUGUAGAGGGUGUUUCGGGCGAGGCGCCAGCCUAAGUUCCUUGGAACAGGACGUCAUAGAGGGUGAGAAUCCCGUAUGCGGCUGGUGACCGACCCCAUGUGAAACCCCUUCGACGAGUCGAGUUGUUUGGGAAUGCAGCUCUAAAUGGGUGGUAAAUUUCAUCUAAAGCUAAAUACCGGCCAGAGACCGAUAGCGCACAAGUAGAGUGAUCGAAAGAUGAAAAGCACUUUGGAAAGAGAGUUAAAAAGUACGUGAAAUUGUUGAAAGGGAAGCGCUUGCAACCAGACCUGCCUCCGGGCGAUCAGCCGCCGUUCUCGGCGGUGCACUCGCCCGUUGCAGGCCAGCAUCGGUUCGGGCGGUCGGAUAAAGGCCCGGAGAAUGUAGCUCCCCUCGGGGAGUGUUAUAGCUCUGGGUGCAAUGCGGCCAGCCUGGACCGAGGACCGCGCUUCGGCUAGGAUGCUGGCGUAAUGGUUGUAAGCGGCCCGUCUUGAAACACGGACCAAGGAGUCUAACAUCUAUGCGAGUGNUUGGGUGUCAAACCCAUGCGCGCAAUGAAAGUGAACGGAGGUGAGAACCCUNUAAGGGCGCAUCAUCGACCGAUCCAGAUGUUUUCGGAUGGAUUUGAGUAAGAGCAUAGCUGUUUCGACCCGAAAGAUGGUGAACUAUGCCUGAAUAGGGUGAAGCCAGAGGAAACUCUGGUGGAGGCUCGCAGCGGUUCUGACGUGCAAAUCGAUCGUCAAAUUUGGGUAUAGGGGUAAGUUAAUAUUUCUUUUUGUUUGGUCUAGCCGCGCAGUCUACGAAGAAUCAUUGGCAGUAUCUUGAGGCCCCGUGAAGCCUCAUCAGACGACGAAGAUUAGAGAUCGGGCGGGGUAGUGCUGGAAUGUUUCCUUCGUAGCUGUGUUGUUUACUAGAGUUUAGAUAUUUUUAAUUGAGUCAAGGCUAACAAUUGGCCAGGCGAAAGACUAAUCGAACCAUCUAGUAGCUGGUUCCUGUCGAAGUUUCCCUCAGGAUAGCAGUAACGUUUUCAGUUUUAUGAGGUAAAGCGAAUGAUNAGAGGCCUUGGGGAUGAANCAUCCUUAACCUAUWCUCAAACUUUAAAUAUGUAAGAAGUNCCUNNNNUGUUACUUAGUUGAACGUGGACAUUUGAAUGCACCGUUACUAGUGGGCCAUUUUUGGUAAGCAGAACUGGCGAUGCGGGAUGAACCGAACGUGGGGUUAAGGUGCCGGAAUGUACGCUCAUCAGACACCACAAAAGGUGUUAGUUCAUCUAGACAGCAGGACGGUGGCCAUGGAAGUCGGAAACCGCCAAGGAGUGUGUAACAACUCACCUGCCGAAUGAACUAGCCCUGAAAAUGGAUGGCGCUCAAGCGUGCUACCUAUACCCCGCCGCCAGGGUAGAAACGAUGCCCUGGCGAGUAGGCAGGCGUGGGGGUNGGNGACGAAGCNNNNNA
rnacentral:rRNA from 1 species